UGUUACAAAUCUUCUCCAAACUUUUUUCUCCUGUCCUUCAAAUAGAUAAGAAUCGAUGUCCUAUAACAGAACAGAAAAGCACAUUUCUGGUCUUUGUUUUCCUUUCCAGGUUUAUCAGCUUUCCUCUGAGAUCCAUAACCUACGUCACAGGUGAUCAAGCCACAGGCUCCACCUACAGCAUCCUCCCAGGCUUGGCGAGGUAUGAAUACAAACGUCCUACUCUUUGGUUGAGGAGUCAGACAUCAUCUAUGGUGGACUCUACAAGAGCUCAGGAGAUCCUGAUUACACACUCCCUGUGCUUCUUUCAGUUGUGGAACCAAGAGUGACCUGAAUUCUUCUAAUUAAAGAGUAGUAGAGGGAGCUUCGUUCCUGAGUCAAGAUGAGAACUCCAAUAAUGGAGACAAGAUCUUACUUUCAAAAAGUGUGAACCAGUAGGCACUUUUGGAAUUUUAGCUAGUGAGAAUUCAGAUUGUUUGUUGCCUAUUUUGUACAAAGUCAAUGGCAUUUUGACAAUCGCUUACUACUAAUUAGUGCUAAUUCACUCAGAAACACUGAUUAGUGCCAGAAAACUGAGUCUUUCAUAUUUUUUUCCUGCUUCUUUGUGUCUUUGUUUCCCCUAAACCUUGUAAUCUGGUUUUCCACUUGCCUAGCAGGGAUUCAAUGCUAUUUGAUUUAAGAGAGACAACAUUGAUUUCCUUUACUUUCAAGAAUAUCUCUAAUCUAAGUUACACUCAAUGUUUCUGAGAAAUACUAUUUUUAUUAUGAGAUUGAUAAAUCUGAUACAGCCAGAAACUUACAAUAAAAUGAAACUUUAUGCUGAUUAACCAAUAUAUAUAAACCAAGAAGACUCAGUGAUCUGGUUGCAGUAAGGAUUAUAAUUUUAAGAACCUCAGAUUUCCAAACUUAAAGCUCCUAUGUAAUUCAGAGAAAACUGAUAUUUGCUGAUAUGCAAAAAAUUCUGGAUAUCAUUUCUCUAGUCCUAGAGUUUUUGAGCUAAAUGCUAUUUCUUAGGUAAUAGUCCUUAGUUAUUCUUUCUAUUAAGGUUAUUAGUUAAGUAUCUGGCUUGUCAUCUAGAAAUGGUGUCAUCCAUUGGUGCAUUGCUCUCUGGUGGUGGCCAUCUGGCAUUCAGAAGAUUCAGUAUGCAAAUUUGCCUCUUGUUAUGGUUUAGAUCUAAAAUAGCCCCAAAGCCUCAUGUUUUUGGAAAAUGACUGGACUAUGAGGGCUUAUAGCUGACUUGCUCUUAGGAAUUGACAUCUGGUCAGAAGAGACUGGUCACCAUGGGCAUGACCUGGAAGACAUGUCUCAUUUUGGGCUCCUCUCUGUCUAGAAAGCUAUUUUAUUGAGCAAAUUUCCUCUGCUCAGGCUCCUCCAAAAUGUCUUCCUACCUAUAAGAUGUGAAUAUUCUGUAUUUUGUCCCAGUGACUAAGAGAAGGACUAAAAUAUCUCAUUAAUAAACAACUCUUCUGGCAGAGCCUACAUUCAUAUUCAAAUAACCACUUUGAAUGGUUAUGGGUCAACUGGGAAAACAUUGAAGUGUCUAGAGAAAAAUUAGCUAACACACAAGGGAUAGGUCACCUCGUUCGAGUGUGCUGGAAGACCAACGCCUUAGGGAAUGUUUUCUCAUGGGCACUACUGCAAGCAAAAAUGAUUCACAAAUUUCUGCUUUUCUCCUACAUUCAUCCACAUUUUUUCCCAGACCACUCUAUCAUUUUCUUCCCAGAUUGGAGCUCCAAAAACAAAGCAACUGCUCCUUUCCAUCGCCUAAUGUUUAUUCUAAUCUCACACCAUUUGUCUCUCCAUACAAAAUGUUUGACCAGUCAUACUCUUUACAUUUCAACUACAGAAAA